AGCAGCCGCGGUAAUUCCAGCUCCAAUAGCGUAUAUUAAAGUUGUUGCAGUUAAAAAGCUCGUAGUUGAAUUUCGGGAUCAAUAUGUUGGUCGUAUCAUUGGUACGUACUGGCAUUAUUGAUUCCUACCUUCUGAAGAACCUUGAUGUCAUUAAUUUGGUGUCUUGGGGAAUCUGGACUGUUACUUUGAAAAAAUUAGGGUGUUUAAAGCAGGCUCGCGCUUGAAUACAUUAGCAUGGAAUAAUGAAAUAGGACGUUUGAUUCUAUUUUGUUGGUUUCUAGGAUUGACGUAAUGAUUAAUAGGGAUAGUUGGGGGCAUUAGUAUUCAAUUGUCAGAGGUGAAAUUCUUGGAUUUAUUGAAGACUAACUACUGCGAAAGCAUUUGCCAAGGAUGUUUUCAUUAAUCAAGAACGAAAGUUAGGGGAUCGAAGACGAUCAGAUACCGUCGUAGUCUUAACCAUAAACUAUGCCGACUAGGGAUCGGAUGAUGUUAAUUUUUUAAUGACUCAUUCGGCUACCG
rnacentral:rRNA from 1 species